rnacentral:rRNA from 1 species
GAUGAACGCUGGCGGCGUGCCUAAUACAUGCAAGUCGAGCGAACCACUUCGGUGGUGAGCGGCGAACGGGUGAGUAACACGUAGGCGAUCCGCCCAUCAGACGGGGGCAACGAUUGGAAACGAUCGCUAAUACCGGAUAGGACGAAAGUUUAAAGGUGCUUCUGGCACCGCUGAUGGAUGAGCCUGCGGCGCAUUAGCUAGUUGGUAGGGUAAAGGCCUAACAAGGCGACGAUGCGUAGCCGACCUGAGAGGGUGAACGGCCACACUGGGACUGAGACAAGGCCCAGACUCCUACGGGAGGCAGCAGUAGGGAAUCUUCGGCAAUGGGCGAAAGCCUGACCGAGCAACGCCGCGUGAAUGAUGAAGGCCUUCGGGUUGUAAAAUUCUGUUAUAAGGGAAGAACGACUUUAGUAGGAAAUGGCUAGAGUGUGACGGUACCUUAUGAGAAAGCCACGGCUAACUACGUGCCAGCAGCCGCCGUAA